rnacentral:rRNA from 1 species
CACGUAGGGACCAAGCGUUGUCCGGAUUUAUUGGGCGUAAAGAGCUCGUAGGCGGUUUCGUAAGUCGGGUGUGAAAACUCUGGGCUCAACUCAGAGACGCCACCCGAUACUGCGAUGACUUGAGUCCGGUAGGGGAGUGCGGAAUUCCUGGUGUAGCGGUGAAAUGCGCAGAUAUCAGGAGGAACACCGGUGGCGAAGGCGGCACUCUGGGCCGGUACUGACGCUCAUGCACGAAAGCGUGGGGAGCAAA